GUAGGACCUCACCUCAACUUAACGCGGGCCGUGUGAGGGUGUAACUUAACUCCGCUGAAUUCUUUAGUUCAUGCGGGCCGCGUAAGGCCACACCGUUAGUUUAUGCGGGCCGCGAGUGUCCCAAUUGGUGGCGCAGCCCGGUGAUGACACGUGCCAUCAUCGUGGCAAGGCUAGAUCAUGACCAGGACAAGCUACGCGUUGACCCAGUAUUGACGCGGGCCGCGUAAGCCUUGCCUGUUCUUUACGCGGGCCGCGUGGGAACCAGUUUCAGCAACUAUAUAAGGAACGCAUCGGAUUUCAAUUCACCAAUGUGUAAUAUGACCCUCAGUAACAAAAUGUGAAAGCCAAUUAGAAUAGAGCCAGCUCGAGAGCACUGACGGCUUGGAAAAAUGUGGCUAUAAAAGUUACCUAAAAAGACGAUGUUUUAAAUUCAAUAAAAUAAGGGUUAUCCUUAUAAACAUGUUGUAACAAGAAACUUGGGUUUUACCCAUAUGACAAUUAAAAUAAAAUAUGGUGGUUUUACU
rnacentral:lncRNA from 1 species